AGUGAACGCUGGCGGCGUGCUUAACACAUGCAAGUCGAACGAGUAAGUGUCUGUAGCAAUACAGAAUUACUGCUAGUGGCAGACGGGUGAGUAAUACAUGGGAAUCUGCCUUAGAGACGAGGAUAACAGUUGGAAACGACUGCUAAUACUCGAUAUUGCCGAGAGGUGAAAUGAAUUUCGCUCUAAGAUGAGCCCAUGCAAGGUUAGCUAGUUGGUGAGGUAAUGGCUCACCAAGGCUACGAUCUUUAGCUGAUUUGAGAGGAUGAUCAGCCACACUGGGACUGAGACACGGCCCAGACUCCUACGGGAGGCAGCAGUGGGGAAUAUUGGACAAUGGGCGAAAGCCUGAUCCAGCGACGCCGCGUGAGU
rnacentral:rRNA from 1 species